rnacentral:misc_RNA from 1 species
UUCCACAUUCAUCUUGUUGAAGUUUUGAGGAAAUGAACACAAUUUCCUGACAAAGAUUGAUUUUUCUACAAAAUGCUUCAGGUUGUACCGAGGAAACUUCCAGAAAGAAUAGAGGAGCAUAAUAGUCCACCAAAGUUAUGCACUGUUGCUUGAAAGGAGGCACUCGAGAGCAGGCUACAUGAAGGGUGUCAAUAAUUUCAGUCUGGGUCUUGUUUUCAUUUAGGUAAUCAAGUGCUUGGGAAGCAAAUUCCUCACACAAUGUGCAAACUUGAUCAUUCCUGAUAACUCCAUCUGAAGCUUGAUCUACCCUUUCUUGCUCCUGGUCUUUCCCUUGUGUAGCUGGUGUAUCAGAGAUCACCAGGCUUGUAUAAGAAAGCUCAGCAUCUGCCAUUUGUCUAGCAGCACAAGCCCA